AAUCCAUGAUGUGGACAAGCUCUCAUAAGUUCCUUGUAUCUCUCCCAUGCUUCAAAGAGUGAUUCGCCGUCCGUCUGCCUAAAGCAGGUAAUCUGGUUUCUCAACU